UACGUAGGUGGCAAGCGUUAUCCGGAAUUAUUGGGCGUAAAGCGCGCGCAGGUGGUUUCUUAAGUCUGAUGUGAAAGCCCACGGCUCAACCGUGGAGGGUCAUUGGAAACUGGGGGACUUGAGUACAGAAGAGAAGAGUGGAAUUCCACGUGUAGCGGUGAAAUGCGUAGAGACCCGGAGGAACACCAGUGGCGAAGGCGGCUUCCUGGUCUGCGACUGACGCUGUGGCGCGAAAGCUAGGGGAGCGAACGGG
rnacentral:rRNA from 1 species